rnacentral:rRNA from 1 species
UAUAGAUGGAUCCGCGCUGCAUUAGCUAGUUGGUAAGGUAACGGCUUACCAAGGCAACGAUGCAUAGCCGACCUGAGAGGGUGAUCGGCCACACUGGAACUGAGACACGGUCCAGACUCCUACGGGAGGCAGCAGUAGGGAAUCUUCCGCAAUGGGCGAAAGCCUGACGGAGCAACGCCGCGUGAGUGAUGAAGGUCUUCGGAUCGUAAAACUCUGUUAUUAGGGAAGAACAUAUGUGUAAGUAACUGUGCACAUCUUGACGGUACCUAAUCAGAAAGCCACGGCUAACUACGUGCCAGCAGCCGCGGUAAUACGUAGGUGGCAAGCGUUAUCCGGAAUUAUUGGGCGUAAAGCGCGCGUAGGCGGUUUUUUAAGUCUGAUGUGAAAGCCCACGGCUCAACCGUGGAGGGUCAUUGGAAACUGGAAAACUUGAGUGCAGAAGAGGAAAGUGGAAUUCCAUGUGUAGCGGUGAAAUGCGCAGAGAUAUGGAGGAACACCAGUGGCGAAGGCGACUUUCUGGUCUGUAACUGACGCUGAUGUGCGAAAGCGUGGGGAUCAAACAGGAUUAGAUACCCUGGUAGUCCACGCCGUAAACGAUGAGUGCUAAGUGUUAGGGGGUUUCCGCCCCUUAGUGCUGCAGCUAACGCAUUAAGCA